UGAAGAUGCUGUAAAGUUUAACAUGGGAGACAAUAGCAAAAGCAUGUAGAUGAUGUUAAUCAGAUCCAUACUCUGAAUGCAUAUGCUACAUUUCUUUCAAGGAUUACAAGGUGUUACACAAGCAAUGAUUCAUAAAGAUUCACAACCCUUGAUGUGUUGAAUAUGUGUGCAGAUCCAGAGAAGUCAAUGAAAACUGGAUUACAAGAGCAAGCAAGUGGGGUGACCCAAAUAACUGUUAAUGUUUCAAAAAUUUAACUUAAAUUCCUUUGCUUAUGGUUGCACAGCGAUUCUUCCAGAUAAGGCCAAUCUAUUGCAUGAGCAAGAGCUAAUGAGACCUCCUGAGAUGAUGCCUGGAAGGGGCUGCAAGUAUAGAGUCCCAGCCUGUUUAAUUGCAGUAUUUUCCUCAGUCCUAUUGAAGAACCGAGGAUCUGACUCAUGGAAAUGCAAAAGACCUGAGAAAACUUCAUAAUAUUCAGUUAUAUGUAAACAACACUAUAUGUUUAAAAAUUAGCUUUGCAGAUUGUGUCUGGACUGCAAGCACUGUGUCCUUAAAAAUGCACUGACUGAUGAAAUAGGCAUAUUCACUGCCUGAUAUUCUAUGAUUGUCUUUAUCUUACAUUUAUACCCUGAAGGAUAACUGUAAGAACGGUGGUUUCCAGAUAUGCAGGAAAGCAGACUGCCUACCUAGUAUAGAUAUAUAUCAGGGAGGAUCCCUGUGUAGAGUUGUUUUCUGAGCACAUACUAAAUCCUAAUUGCUUGUGACAGAACUGGGUUUUGCCAGGUUAGUGUAAGAUUUUGACUGUAGGGCUAGAAGAGAAUAAUAUAAUUCAACCAGUAAUUCCAAAAAAUAAUGCUACCUGUCUCAUUAUAGGGAACAGGUGUAAAGAGCAAGAAGAGAAUGUAAAGCGUGUGCAGGCUUUGAAGAAGAGACGAUCAUUUUCAGCCUUUGUGCUUUGAAUCUAACAUGACUUUCAAGGCUAAACUAAAAGAUGUGUUGAUGUGUUCAAUAUUGGAGGGAGAUCAAUAUUUUGUAUGUUUCUUUCAGUACU